CAGGUGACUCCCAUGCAAGCCUACCUGGAAGAAGGGACUUGGUUUAAAAUGAAUUAGGAUCAUUCUUCCUGGUUUCAUCCUCUGACAGGUGGAGGGGAAAAAAAGGUCAGAAAUGUGUUUUGUAACUUUUUUAGCACCUUCCAAGUUUGGUGCUUUAGAUUUUGGUUGCAGUGGGUGGGAGAUUAGAGACCAGCUUGUGUGUGUGUCGGGUCAUGCCCAGUGAUGUCAGGUACGUCUGUAUUCUCAUUCCCACUGCUAGAGGGGAAUCAAGAGUGAAGCUACUCAUUCCAGUCUUAAGGAGAAUAUGGAGAGGAGUGGGGCAGUCUCUGUGUUUAGGACCAGAUGGGUCCUUAAGGUAGUUUCAUAAGUUGAUUAUGAAUCUCCCUGCAGAUGGCUAGGGCCUUGGGAACUCUGGAUACUCUUAGUGGACAUUCCAUUCAUCUUUUGAGUCCCUACUGUGUUCUAGUUACUGAUUUGGAGGAAAAAAAUGAAUAAAAUAUAGCCUCAGCCCUUAGUGUAGUUUGGCAGGUGUCUUAGGACAUACUCAGUGAGUGCAAUAGCACAGAGGCACAGAGGAGAGAGUGACUGUUUGUCUAGGGAAGUCAGGAGGAUUUCACAGAGAAGGUGGGGCAUUUGACCUGGAUUGUCAGAAGAUGAACCAGAAUUCUUCAGGUCCAAAAGAUGAGAAAGUUUUCAGAGAAAACUCAGAAGGAUAGAGUGGAUUGAGGGUACUCAGGUGGGUCCACUACCCAUCUUGUUUGGUAACCAGAAUACCAGAUUCCCCCUUA
rnacentral:lncRNA from 1 species